GAACCUGCAGGACCACAGGGGAUAAUCUGUACACUGCAAGGGGGUUUAAAUGUCAAAAAUACAAAAUAAAAGUUCUUGUAUCGAUUAAAAGAAGGAACUUCAGGUGAGUUCUCAUCACCCAGAGAUGAGAAGCUCAGAGCCAAAGCACAUAUCAUUGUUUCUGGUUGUUGUUAUUAGAUUUGUGAUGGGGGAUUGUGGUUUUCACUAUGAUUAAACAACCUUGACCUGAAUGUGUGUUCUGAGAAGGGUUCUCAAAUGGUUCUCUUCCUAAACAUUUCAACAACAUACUCUAGAAAAAACCCUAUACGCUGCUGUAGAGUUUUACAUAAGAACCCAUUUGAUGGUUCUAGAUUUAACCCCCCAGACUGUAUUCCUGUGUGUGCUCUUGUGAGGGUCAUCUUAAUUUUACAAACACCUCAGAAAAUCAGUGAAAUGAUAUGUUUGGCGCCCUCUGCUGCCUGUAAGGUGAAUUACACGCGCAAUGAAAUGUUGGACAAGCCCCGCCCCCUUUCUCCAAAUAGACCUUCCCUCCAUGUUUAAACUGUGUAUGCUUCAUGCGUUGCCUUUUAAGGAAAGAGGUGGAGGAUAAAGAGGCUACAGCAGGGCCUAUAAACUAGAAAGUUUCACCGCCUGGCAAUAUUGUGUCUAAGAGUCACUCCGAUUAUGGUGUAAGCAAUUCCCAUCACCACUAGGGGCAGCAUGUAGACCAGCACAGACACUAUGGCGUGGUACCUGGACCAUCACAGACAUGUGUCUUUACUGCUCAGAAGCACGCUGAUGGAGAAUGAGGAGUUGAGGAUGAUGAUGAUAUUAAAAUGAAGCUCGGUACCGGUCCAUGGCGAUGGCGGUCAUGGAGUAGAUGCUGGCGAACACCGCGGCGA